rnacentral:rRNA from 1 species
GACGAACGCUGGCGGCGUGCCUAAUACAUGCAAGUCGAACGCAGUGGGGACGGGUGCGUAACACGUGGGUAACCUCCCCUCCAAGGGGAUAACACUUGGAAACAGGUGCUACCCCGAUACUGAUGUAUGGACCCGCGGUGCAUUAUCUAGUUGUUGAGGUAACGUCUCACCAAGGCCACGAUGCAUAGCCGACCUGAGAGGGUGAUCGGCCACACUGGGACUGAGACACGGCCCAGACUCCUACGGGAGGCAGCAGUAGGGAAUCUUCUGCAAUGGACGAAAGUCUGACAGAGCAACGCCGCGUGAGUGAAGAAGGUUUUCGGAUUGUAAAAUUCUGUUGUUAGAGAAGCGGUAUCUAACCAGAAAGCCACGGCUAACUACGUGCCAGCAGCCGCGGUAAUUC